ensembl:lncRNA
AGUCCUCUCUUUCCUGCCUUUGCUGCAGCCCCGCAGUGAUCCUUUUACAGCUGGGAACCAGAAAGCCUGUGUAAGUUGGUUGACAUCAUUUUGGUGAAAAUAAGUCGGUCAUUGGAAAAGACCCUGAUGCUGGGAGAGAUUGAACGCGGGAGGAGAAGAGGAUGACGUAGGAGGAGAUGGUUGGAUGGCAUCACCGACUCAAUGGACAUGCGUUUGGGGACAGUCUCUCCCACACCCUCUCAAAGUCCGGGUGCCCCAGAGAACCUUCACUAAAAGGGUGGUCUGCUGCCCCUCACCUUCGCUUGGGACUCUUCCCCGAAAGCGGUGGUUGACGGUGACGUAGUGACAGUGAUGCAAAGCUGAAAACAGGCGUCUGGAGCUUGGAACGCCUUCUCUGCAAUGCAGGUCACUUUUCUUCCUGUGACAGAACUCUCCCCUGUGCAUCAGAAGACUGACUUCAGGGCCUGAGACGUCACGGAUGCCAAGCCCAGCUUCUCAA